AUGGAAUUGAGGGUGCCUCAUAUGCUUCAUCUUUUUAAUAUCUUUCAUGAGAAUAAGGAUUCCGAUAAUUGUGCUCACUUGCUAGAGGAAGAAUGCAUUAAAAUGUUUGGCACUAAAUAUUUGAAUGAUGAGCAUGAUUGCAAUGUUGUUAGUAUGAAUUCCUUGAAUAUCCAUGAUGCUAAUGAUAUGCAAAGCCACAAGCUUGGGGAUGCUAUGUUUGACGAAGAUGAUAUUUUUUGUCCCCCAAGUUUUGAUGAGCAAAUUUAUUAUGAUGAUAGCAUGCCUCCUAUUUAUGAUGAUUAUUGUGAUGACACGUAUGCUAUAAAGAAUAAUGAUAACCAUGAAACUUGCCAUCUUGAUUUUAUUUUUCAAUUGGAUUAUGCCUCACAUGAUAGUUAUUUUGUUGAGUUUGCUCCCACUACUAUUGAUGCUUAUGUGUAG
rnacentral:rRNA from 1 species